rnacentral:sRNA from 1 species
AGGCAGGGUUUCCCUUCCUCUCUCAUUGUGUUCCUACCAAAGCUAUAUAUUUGGUCAAAGAGCCAACAUUUCCCAAUAGAGGAACAACAUUCUUUGCUCAAGGGUAGAUAAAGAGCUAUGCUCAUGUGCUGAGACAAGCUGCCAAGGUCCAUAUGGGAUAAUGUUAGGCUUGCACUGUAUUUCUUCU